GCUAGUACCAGAGAUCUAGACCAAGGACGAGAUCAAUGAGAUGUUCUAUGGAGUCUGUGGAGAACAAGAGAAGCACACACUACAAGAAAUAUGAGUAUUGGUAGCAGUUCACGGUAGCACGAAUUCACCAACUGCUAGUAAAGUAGCAAAUUUGGACACCAACUCUAUAGUAGCAUUAAAUUAGUGCUAGGAUCUAUUUUUUUUUUAAACAAAAGACGCAAAUUUUGUUUAGGAUAACACUUUUGUGCGAAAAUUUUAGUUGGUGCGCCAACACUUUAAAAAAUAUACUUUGCCACCAAAGAACUUAGCCAAUUCCUUUUUUUUUCUCUCUUAUCUUCGACGAAUCAUCUUUUUUUCUUUCUGUUUUCAGAUUUCAUCUCCUCCAUCUCUAUUCUUAAUAAUCUCUCAUACACACACACCUCUCUCUCUGUCUUACUCUCCUCACCUCACUCCCACACACGAUUCCUCUAACACAGACAUCUCUCUCUGUUUCACUCUCCUAAUCUCACUCUCACACGCGACACAUCGAUUUCAAACGUAGAACUCGGGAUCCCUAACCCGUCGUUGUAGAAUGUUCCAACUCCGACGGUGGCUCCUAACUCUGACUUGUUUACUUCGUGUCUCUCGGUCGGCGGCUCCUCCUUCUCCAACGAAUUCUCCAGUCUCGUCUUCAUCUUUUUCGAGCACUGGAAUGUUGCAGAGACAAAGUUUCUCUCUAGACUGAGUUCAUCAUUCUCUGUGAGCCAUCCUUCAACCCGCAUCAGUCAUCUUGUUAUCCUCACGGUUACUCUGCUGUAAUCAAAUCCAAUAGCCUAUCAGUCUCUUCAUCUGUCUCUUAAAGUCUUCACCUUUUCAGGGUUUGUUGAGUCUGAUUUCCAGAAACUUUCUUGUUGAUUUCGCCUGCUUGGGAGCUUCUUCGUCACCAGAUGAAACAGAUCUGAACUUUGAGAUUAUAGAAGUAUGGCGAGCUCAGAGGUGUCUAAGAAAGGAAAUCGUGGAGGAGAAAACUUCCAUUGCCUUCCCUGAAAUCGUGAACAACAUGUUGGGUCGACAAGUAUCACUCAAAAUCUCAAUAUACCGGUAGAGAAGUUUACAAGUUAAAUGAUAGAUAGAUCCCAUGGGUAAGAGCCUGCUGAUCUCGAGAUUAGUUUGUUUUCUGAAAAGAUCUCAGGCAGAACUCUCAUUUCAAAAAGAGAAGUUCAGAUGGUCACUUGUAGGUUGGUGAAUCUCGCCUUGUCAAGCCGGAAGAAGAGAGAGCGGUGACACGGUGAAGCCGGAAGUGGAGACAACGGUGAAGCUACGGCUGAGGCGGUGAAGCCGAAGGAGUACAGACAGAAGUUGGGCUAGUAUCAUUUUCUGGUUUGACUGUUUGGUCUCUGAAGUUAUAUCAUUCAUAAGAGUGAUUAAGACGUGUUUUUGGAUUAUGAAAAAGGGAAUUGUAAUUGAUUAUGUAAAGAACUGUAGUUGUUAUAUUUGAGCUCAGUUCAUGGAAUUGGAUCAAACCAAUGUUAAAAGUGUUGAUACUUUUGUUUCAAAUAAGAGUAAAAUGACGAAUAAGUAAAAGAAAUGUUAGAAAUUGUUAUAAUGUUAAAACCGGUUACAAUUUUGAAAAAGAAUUUAGAUUUAUUAAAAAAUUGGUAAUUUGUAUUUUGUGAUUCAAAAAGAAAAAACAAAACCCUAAAAUAAGUUUUAAACUUCAAUCUUUUCAUGAUAUAAUUUUAAUCUUAAACUUAAACUCAAUAUUUAAUUAUUUUAAAAAUCUUAUAUCAAAUUUAAAAUCUAAAUUUUGUAACUACACCCUAAACAUAAUACCCUAAACCCCAAAUUCAAAGCCUAUAUACAAAAUCAUAAAUCAAAUCUAUGCAAAUAACAUAAUUACUAAACUAAAACCUAUUCCUUAUAUAAACUAUAACUUUAUUAAUUUUAUUUUCAAAUAUCUAUCUCAACUACAAUUCUAUUUCACAAACCUCAAACCAUAUACUUUAAACUUAACUACAACCAUAUAAGCUAAUAGUCAACAAUAGUAAUUUAAUAUUUUUAAUUUUAAUCUAUAAAUUCCAAAACAUAAUCAAACACAUACAUUAUAAAAGCCAAAAACCAAACCCUAUGUCAAACCCUAUUCCUCCAAUUUAUAUUCAAACUCUAAAUCUUUUUUUAAUAAUUCUUAACUUUUUGUUUUUGAAGAAAAUCAUAAUUAUAUAUCAUAAUUGACAUUUUGCCAUUACAAUUUAUAAUUACUGAAAAUUAAUCAUCACUUAAUCUUCAAACAUUAGUCUUUGUAAACAUAUAAAAUGAUAUGUUAAAAUUAACAAAGUAUUGAAAGAUUAAAUAAAAGAAAAUAAAAUAAAAACGAGGAUAACCUCUCUAUCUCACAUCCUUUUACGUUAUUUUUUUAUUUUUUAAUAGCAAUCGUCGUGAUUCUUUUCUAUUGGCUAAUACAAGAAAGUGAAGAUAACUUCUUUUUUUAAUCUUAACCGUUGAUGAAUAUAAUCUAAGGGACAUAAACAUUUUGCUUUUUUAAAUAGGUUUUAUCUCUCUCGAGAUCUCUGUUCUCUCCUCUUCUACCGUCGUAAACCUGAAAAAAAAAAAAUAAAAGUUCCAUCUUUUCUUCUUCUCUCGAUCGUGGAAUAAACCCUAAGAAACCGAGAAAAAUUCUCCAUCUUUUACGAAGCGUGUCGACUCCACUUCUCACAUCGUUGGUUCACGUCUCGAGCCCAAGAGAAUCUCCAAUCGAAACCGAAUCUGACACUGUAAGCCAUAUAUAGUGAAUGAUGACGAAGAGGUUUUCGACAAGGACCCCAAAACAGUUUCAUCUCAGCUACUGAGCCUUCUCAUUUUCCACUUCUCAAUGGGACUACUGGUGAGAUUUACCUGUCUUCUUUCCCUUUCUCUAUAUGUAUUUCAUUUCCGUCCACUCUAACUCUGCUUCUGUUCAUUGUGUUUUUCCCCAAUAAUAUGGGACUUGAGGAAGCUGAAACCGACAAUUAAGUAUUCAGCUCUUUACAGUGAUAUUAGUGGAGCGCUCUAUUCUUGCUACAGAAACCUUGAUCUGGCUAUUAUCAAUCAACAGCUUUGCAGAGCAGCGGAGGAGGCGGUGCCAAAGGAGUUAGGGUUAUUUUUUGUAGUUUUAGAUUUCGUAAAACAAAUUUGUAAACCGGUUUACUUUAUAAACCAAAAUCAGUUGUAAACCAAAGUUUAAAUAUAAACCGAAGUCAUUUGUAAACCA